CCUACGGGGGGCAGCAGUGGGGAAUAUUGGACAAUGGGGGCAACCCUGAUCCAGCCAUGCCGCGUGUGUGAAGAAGGCCCUCGGGUUGUAAAGCACUUUCAGUGAGGAAGAACGCCUGGUGGUUAAUACCCAUCAGGAAAGACAUCACUCACAGAAGAAGCACCGGCUAACUCCGUGCCAGCAGCCGCGGUAAUACGGAGGGUGCGAGCGUUAAUCGGAAUUACUGGGCGUAAAGCGCGCGUAGGUGGCUUGAUAAGCCGGUUGUGAAAGCCCCGGGCUCAACCUGGGAACGGCAUCCGGAACUGUCAAGCUAGAGUGCAGGAGAGGAAGGUAGAAUUCCCGGUGUAGCGGUGAAAUGCGUAGAGAUCGGGAGGAAUACCAGUGGCGAAGGCGGCCUUCUGGACUGACACUGACACUGAGGUGCGAAAGCGUGGGUAGCAAACAGGAUUAGAUACCCGGGUGGUC
rnacentral:rRNA from 1 species